rnacentral:misc_RNA from 1 species
AACCUAGCACACCUGCGGUGUGUACCUGCGGAGGGAUCAUUAAAGAAUUUUUGCCCGCGGACCUUGGAGUCCAAGGCGCAAAACCCACACUGUGUGCACUGUUAUCGUUCUUUUGGCAGGGGCUUGUGGUAUCUUCCAACUUGGGGAACCUCAACUUCUCGUCUAGCUCUAUCCACCUCGGACAGCUGGACAUGAGAGGCAGUUACCCUGCCAAGUGACCCCUAAAAACACGCUUUUUGU